UGGGGUUCCAGUUAGUAGAAGUCUACGUUGAAUCUGGUAGCCGGACAGAAGAGUUCGUGCCAGAGCACACUCAUGAUUCUUUAAUCGAUGCCCUUCAUCAACAAUCAUGUAAACCCAGUAAAUUUUUUUCAAAAAUGCUUUAUCUCUCAUGAUUAGAUCAUAGUGUGUGAUCAACACAUCAAAGUUUCCAUCUCUUGAUAACUGUUCCCUCAAUGCCUUUCUCUCGUCUAGACGCCCAUCAUAAAGAACAG
rnacentral:misc_RNA from 1 species